CGGAUUGAUACUAAGCCAUGCGAGUUUUUGUAGCAAUACAAGGCAUACGGCUCAGUAACACGUAGUCAAUCUAACCUAUGGACGAGGAUAACCUCGGGAAACUGAGAAUAAUACUCGAUAGAUCAUUAUGCCUGGAACGGUUUAUGGUUAAAAUGAAUUUCGCCAUAGGAUGGGACUGCGGUCUAUCAGCUUGUUGGUGAUGUAAUGGACCACCAAGGCUAUAACAGAUACGGGCUCUGAGAGGAGAAGCCCGGAGAUGGGUACUGAAACACGGACCCAGGCCCUAUGGGGCGCAGCAGGCGAGAAAACUUUGCAAUGUGCGAAAGCACGACAAGGUUAAUCCGAGUGAUUCCUGCUAAAGGAAUCUUUUGUUAGUCGUAAAACCACUGAUGAAUAAGGGGUGGGCAAGUUCUGGUGUCAGCCGCCGCGGUAAAACCAGCACCUCAAGUGGUCAGGAUGAUUAUUGGGCCUAAAGCAUCCGUAGCCGGCUCUGUUAGUUUUCGGUUAAAUCUAUAUGCUCAACAUAUAGGCCGCCGGGAAUACUACAAAGCUAGGGAGUGGGAGAGGUAGACGGUACUCCGUAGGAAGGGGUAAAAUCCUUUGAUCUAUGGAUGACCACCUGUGGCGAA
rnacentral:rRNA from 1 species